UCGGGAAUUUUGGGCAAUGGGGGAAACCCUGACCCAGCAACGCCGCGUGAAGGAUGAAGUAUUUCGGUAUGUAAACUUCGAAAGAAUAGGAAGAAUAAAUGACGGUACUAUUUAUAAGGUCCGGCUAACUACGUGCCAGCAGCCGCGGUAAUACGUAGGGACCAAGCGUUGUUCGGAUUUACUGGGCGUAAAGGGCGCGUAGGCGGCAUGACAAGUCACUUGUGAAAUCUCUGGGCUUAACCCAGAACGGCCAAGUGAUACUGUCGCGCUAGAGUGCAGAAGGGGCAAUCGGAAUUCUUGGUGUAGCGGUGAAAUGCGUAGAUAUCAAGAGGAACACCUGAGGUGAAGACGGGUUGCUGGGCUGACACUGACGCUGAGGCGCGAAAGCCAGGGGAGCAAACGGGAUUAGAUACCCUAGUAGUCCCUGAGCGGGC
rnacentral:rRNA from 1 species